rnacentral:rRNA from 1 species
CGGGACGGGUGAGUAAUGUCUGGGAAACUGCCUGAUGGAGGGGGGUAACUACUGGAAACGGUAGCUAAUACCGCAUAACGUCGCAAGACCAAGAGGGGGACCUUAGGGCCUCUUGCCAUCGGAUGUGCCCAGAUGGGAUUAGCUAGUAGGUGGGGUAACGGCUCACCUAGGCGACGAUCCCUAGCUGGUCUGAGAGGAUGACCAGCCACACUGGAACUGAGACACGGUCCAG